CUUUUUAUUUUAAAGUCAUUAUAUAACUUGACAAUAUUUUGUUUUCUUUUCUAAAAGAUAUCGAAUAUAAAAUAAUGAAAUCCUAUUGGUUGGUUAACCUAGAGGUUUACGCCAGGGGUGAACCCAAGAAUAACACUCGUAUAUUAUUGGGUCUUUGUUUGUUGGUCAAUCACUAUGUUGCUUGCUAGAACUUUCAUUGUGACAUACCGACAUUUGUUCCGUGAGAAAAUCAUCUUAAUAGAUUUCAAAUAAGAUGACCAUUGAGAAAGGGCAUGAAUUUAAUUUAUUCUUGAAAUUAAAUUUUAAAGAAGGGUUAUGUAAGUAAAUAGUUUGCUAUACUACAAAAGAAAUCCAAAUUAAAAUUAAGUUAAAAUGUGUAUUUAAGUAUUUGUAAUCCACAUGUUUAUUCCUCAACUAUAGCUCGUGUAGAAUAAUACUUUAAUAUAUGAUUGUAAAAAUUUGUGAUUAAAAGGUCAAAUCUCUUAAUAGUUAACGGUAAUAUAUUUUUUAAACGUGAUCAUGAUUAUAAUUUUAAAACCAGAAUUCACAAAAAUGAGUAUUUAAUUAUUCAACUAUAUGCAAUUGACAACAGAAAAGGUCGACUAACAUAAUUUAUGAUGAUUUUUGGUUGUUUCUCCGCUGCUUUUUCUCAUUUCUUCGAGACAACAUUGAUAAACAUAGAAUCUGGAACUGUGUUAUCAUCUUCUCCUGAAGAGUAAUUGGAAGAUGACUCCGAAGAUGUAGACUCAGCGCCAGCCUCAGAGUCGAAUUCAAAAGAAACCUCUUCUUCAAGGCAAUUUAGAAGAUUCAGAUUUGUUCAUCCUCCCCUUUCUUCUUCGAGCUGAAGAGUUGCAGAAAGAGCAAGGGAUUGGAGCAGUAAAGCAUCUACAAAUAUUAUGUUCAACUUCUUUACAAUUAUCACAAGUUGGAGGGAGUCAGGGAUAUGAGACUUCAACUCGAUGCGUGUAACCAGAUUCAAACUAGACAUUCAUGACUUCUGGCAGAGGUUUUGAAAGAUCAAUAACUAUGAACAUCCUUGCAAUUUAAUUUCGAUAUAUGAGGAUGGAGGUAGAGAGGAAUCCCAACAGUGCCGGCCCUUGCAUGAAGCCAACGAAGCACCCGCUUGCGGCCGUGUAUUUUAUUAACUAAAUUCGGCCACAUUUCAUAAAUGUUUUCUUUAGUGUAGUGGUUAACUCUUGCCCACAUUUUCAUCAGAAUAAGGGUUCGACACCCAGUGACCACAAUUUCACUAUCUAUUUUUUCUUUAUGUUUUUUUUUCUUUAUAAAAGUGGCCACAUUUUUAUU